UAGCAACCAGUCUACUCUAUCAUGUAUGGCGUUGGUAAGCAACCAGUCUACUCUAUAAUGUAUGGUGUUGGUAAGCAACCAGUGGUCUACUCUAUAAUGUAUGGCAUUGGAAAGCAACCAGUGGUCUACUCUAUAAUGUAUGGCGUUGGUAAGCAACCAGUCUACUCUAUCAUGUAUGGCAUUGGUAAGCAAACAGUUGUCUACUCUAUCAUGUAUGGCAUUGGAAAGCAACCAGUGGUCUACUCUAUAAUGUAUGGCGUUGGUAAGCAACCAGUCUACUCUAUCAUGUAUGGCAUUGGUAAGCAACUAGUGUUCUACUCUAUCAUGUAUGGCGUUGGUAAGCAACGAGUGGUCUACUCUAUAAUGUAUGGCGUUGGUAAGCAACCAGUCUACUCUAUCAUGUAUGGCAUUGGUAAGCAACUAGUGUUCUACUCUAUCAUGUAUGGCAUUGGUAAGCAACCAGUCUACUCUAUCAUGAAUGGCGUUGGUAAGCAACCAGUCUACUCUAUCAUGUAUGGCAUUAAUAAGCAACCAGUCUACUCUAUCAUGUAUGGCAUAGGUAAACAACCAGUCUACUCUAUCAUGUAUGGCGUAGGUAAGCAACCAGUCUACUCUAUCAUGUAUGGCGUUGGUAACCAACCAGUCUACUCUAUCAUGUAUGGCGUUGGUAAGCAACCAGUCUACUCUAUCAUGUAUGGCGUUGGUAAGCAACCAAUCUACUCUAUCAUAUGGCGUAGGUAAGCAACCAGUCUACUCUAUAAUGUAUUGCGUAGGUAAGCAACCAGUCUACUCUAUCAUGUUUGGUGUUGGUAAGCAACUAGUGGUCUACUCUAUCAUAUAUGGCAUUGGUAAGCAACCAGUCUACUCUAUCAUGUAUGGUGUUGGUAAGCAACCAGUCUACUCUAUCAUGUAUGGCGUAGGUAAGCAACCAGUCUACUCUAUCAUGUAUGGCGUAGGUAAGCAACCAGUCUACUCUAUCAUGUAUGGCAUAGGUAAGCAACCAGUCUACUCUAUCAUAUAUGGCAUUGGUAAGCAACUAGUGGUCUACCUAUCAUGUAUGGCGUUGGUAAGCAACCAGUCUACUCUCUAAUGUAUGGCGUAGGUAAGCAACCAGUCUACUCUAUAAUGUAUGGCAUCCGGGGUGUACAUUGUCCAGGGUAAUCAUGGAACUUAGGCUGGAAAUCCAUGGUAUAACAUGGAAUUCCAUGGAAAUCCCUGGAAUUUGAAACAGUUUCCAGGGUUUUCCAGGGUUUUGUUCUAGAAAUGUCCAUGAAACGUUGACUUUUUUUCCAAGCAUUUUCCAGCCUUGGAUGGAAAAGCAUGGAAAAGGAAUGGAAAACGCUGGAUUUAGGCUGGAUAACCAUGGAAAAUAUUUCCAGAUAGCAUGGAAAGUGGAACAUAGAAUUUUUUAAGCAUGGAAAAGACUCUAACAUUUUCAGCUGACCCUGGAAAAAACUUAGACUUUAUAAGAGGAGAAAAUAACUUAUAAAAAUGCAACACAUUUUAUUCAAAGUAAAUCAGAGUUCAACAAUUUACACAGCAUAUGAAUAAAACAUAAAACAAUGUGCAUAGAUUGGGCAGAAAUAGUAGUAGUUAUAGUAGUAGUAGUAGUAGUGGUAGAAGUAGUAAUGCUGAGGCUGGCAGUAGAAUAUGUUGUAGGAGUAGAAGUAAAAGUGGUUGUUGUAUAAGUUGUACAAGCAGUUAAACUACUGAUAAUUAUACUAUUGGUGCAAAUUAAAGUGACAGUAGCAGUAGUAGCAGUUAUUAUUGUGUUGUUGUUUUAGCAUUUACAGGAAUAGUAGCAGUAAUGGUAGCAAUAGUAGUAUAAAUAAUAAUAACAAUACUAGUAGCAGCAGUAGUAGUAGUAGUUAAGGAAGUAGCAUUAGCAGCAGCAGCAGUAGUAGUAGUAGAAGUAGUAGUAGUAGAAGUAGUAGUAGUAGAAGUAGCAGCAGCAGCAGUAGUAGCAGCAUCAGUAGCAGUAGUAGUAGCAGUAGUAGUAGCAAUAGUAGUUGAAGUACUAGUAGUAGUAGUAGAAGUAGUAGUAGUAGUAGUAGUAGUGGUAGUAGUAGUAGUAGUAACAGCAACAGCAGCAGCAGUAGUAGUAGUAGUAGUCGCUGCAGCAGGAGUUGUAGUCGUAGCAGCAGCAGCAGCAGUAGCAGUAGUAGUAGUAGCAGUAGCAGCAGGAGUAGUAGCAGCAGCAGCAGUAGCAGCAGCAGUAGCAGUAGUAGUAGUAGUAGUUGAAGCAGUAGUAGUAGUUGAAGCAGUAGUAGUAGUAGUAGUAGCAGUAGUAGCAGCAGUAGUAGUAGUAGUAAUAGUAGAAGUAGUAGAAGUAGUAGUAGUAGUAGUAGUAGUAGUAGUAGUAGUAGUAGUAGUAGUAGUAGUUGUUGUUGUUGAUGUUGUUGUGGCUGUUGUAAUAGUAGUAGUAGUUUUGCAGAAGUAGUAGUAGUAGUAGUAGUAGUACUAGUAGUGGAAGUAAUAGUAGUAACUUUCAAAGCAAUGUCUACAAGUUUAAAUUCCUUAACCCUGUUCAAGGUGUAUACACACUCAAUAUUUAACUUCAGUCCAGGUUUGCAAUUAACAAACUAUCUGAUAAACCUGUGUGUGAGUCAGAUAUGUCUGCUGCUAAGCGAUUGGUUAUAAAAAAUCACAGCCUUUUCUGAUUGGCUGAGUUCAAAUACAGAAAGUUUACCUGUUAGAUUGAAAUUCUGGUGUGCGUAUUGUAAAAAUAUGCAGGUUAAACUUGUUAAAAUGAAGUUAAUGUAAUUUCACAAACAGUAGAGUUAAUGAGUUUUUCCAUUAACAAGAAUUUCUUAAAAUAAUAAUGUAUGGAUAUCAUUUUGAAAGUGACAUGAAAUGUUGUUAAAAAGUGAUGCAUACAAGUGUUUCAGAAGUCUGUCUAGGAAUAGAACAACAACUGAAGCUGACCAGUUGAUGGAAGAUACUGCAGAGUUUGACAGGGAAAUAACCCAAGACAGCAAAGCGGCUCUUUUGGCGCAUUUACCAAGAGGACGAACAUGGCCACAAAUUCAUGAGAUCAUGCAGGAGCCGUAUAGUAUAACAGCAUUACAAGUUCUAUAAAAGAUCCACGACCUACUGAAGCCCAGCUAAUUAACAAAAAAGUUUUUAAAAACUGUAAUUUUAUCCCACCUGGGUACUUAUAAUUUACUAAGCUGCCUACACAAGUUUUAGACUUGCAAUUAUAUUUUAAACUGUCACUUGGAAAGUAAUACAUUUACAUGCAUUAUGUUCUGAAUUUCUUUGAACAAUAAAAUUAUAUAAAAGUAUUUUAAUGAAAUUGAGCACCUAAAUUGCAUUAAAGUGAAAGUAGCUGAGAAAAAUAGUAUCCUUGUGCUCAUGGGCAGCUACAUAUAUUGUGACAAACAUGAAGCAGCUAAAAUAACUAAAAUUUUUCAUUUGUUUCUUGUAUAUCGUUUGUACAGGGUUCGUGAAUUGUUACUGUAUAUUACUUGACUUGCUUGUAUUUUGUUACUUUGAAUACAUGUUGUUAAGGUUGCAUUAUACUUUUUAACUUUUAAAGUAGCGCCUGUUCUGUUAUGUAAGGGCCUGAUUUAUGAUAAUGGACCUAGAGGCUUUGUAAGCAUGUAUUAAACAACACUUGUUUGAUCUGAAUAAUUUGUUAAAUAAAUGUAACACAAUUUGUAAUCUGAUGUUAUAUUUUGAUAAAUUGUGAACAAAAUAAUACAUCGAAGAAACUAA